AUCAGGAAGCCGGUGCGAGUCCGGCGCGGUCCCGCCACUGUGACCGGGAAGCUGUCCUUCCGCGUGCCACUGUCCGCGGACGGGAAGGCGAAGGCGAGCGACGAUCCGGGAGCCAGGAGACUG
rnacentral:ncRNA from 1 species